AGCGAACGCUGGCGGCGUGCUUAACACAUGCAAGUCGAGCGAAGGUGUUUCAAGGGUAACCUUGAGAUACACUUAGCGGCGGACGGGCGAGUAAUACGUGGAUAACUUACCUCUAGGCCUGGGAUAACCCCGGGAAACUGGGGCUAAUACCUGAUAAGACCACAUUGUCUACGGACAAAGGGGUAAAAGGUGGCUGUGCAAACAGCUAUCGCCAAAAGAUAGGUUCACGUCCCAUCAGGCAGUGGUGAGGUAAUGGCUCACCAAACCAAAGACGGGUAGCCGGCCUUGGCGGGUGAACGGCCACACGGGGACUGAGACACGGCCCCGACUCCUACGGGAGGCAGCAGUGGGGAAUAUUGGGCAAUGGGCGCAAGCCUGACCCAGCGACGUCGCGUUGGGGAAGAAGGCCUU
rnacentral:rRNA from 1 species